rnacentral:rRNA from 1 species
CCCUUAGAUGUCCUGGGCUGCACGCGCGCUACACUGAUGUGUCCAGUAAGCACCUAACCUCUUCCGAAAGGAACGGAUAACCUUUGCAAAUCACAUCGUGAUGGGGAUAGAUUAUUGCAAUUAUUAGUCUUGAACGAGGAAUUCCUAGUAAGCACAAGUCAUCAGCUUGUGUUGAUUACGUCCCUGCCCUUUGUACACACCGCCCGUCGCUCCUACCGAUUGAAUGUUCCGGUGAGCUCUUCGGACUGCGCGGUCUGCAGUUUCUGCGUUCCGUGCGGAAAGUUGCGCAAACCUUAACAUUUAGAGGAAGGAGAAGUCGUAACA